ensembl:miRNA MIR122 microRNA 122
AGAGCUGUGGAGUGUGACAAUGGUGUUUGUGUCCAAUCUAUCAAACGCCAUUAUCACACUAAAUAGCUACUGGUAG